GCCAGUGCAGUGUAGUGGUUUGAAUGUUAGACUAUGACUCUGGAAAUCAGGGUUCGAUUGCCCGCUCAAGCA